rnacentral:misc_RNA from 1 species
GAUGAAGAACGCAGCGAAAUGCGAUACGUAAUGUGAAUUGCAGAAUUCAGUGAAUCAUCGAAUCUUUGAACGCAUAUUGCGCUCUCUGGUAUUCCGGAGAGCAUGCUUGUUUGAGUAUCAGUAAACACCUCAACUUCCAUAUCUUUUUUGAAAUGGGAGUUGGACUUGAGUGAUCCCAACGCUUUUCCUCACCGAAAAGUGGCGGGUUACUUGAAAUGCAGGUGCAGCUGGACUUUUCUCUGAGCUAUAAGCAUAUCUAUUUAGUCUGCCUAAAAAACAGAUUAUUACCUUUGCUGCAGCUAACAUAAAGGAGAUUAGUUCUUGUGCUGACUGAUGCAGGAUUCACAAAGACGGCUUCGGCCGACUUUGUAAACUCGAUCUCAAAUCAAGUAAGACUACCCGCUGAACUUAAGCAUAUCAAUAAGGGAGGA